UACGGAGGGUGCGAGCGUUGUCCGGAAUCAUUGGGCGUAAAGGGCGCGUAGGUGGCCCGGUCAGUUCGUGGUGAAAGCGCGGGGCUCAACCCUGCGUCGGCCAUGAAUACUGCCGCGGCUGGAGCACUGUAGAGGCAGGCGGAAUUCCGGGUGUAGCGGUGGAAUGCGUAGAGAUGUGGAGGAACACCAGUGGCGAAGGCGGCUCUCUGGUCUGUAACUGACGCUGAGGCGCGAAAGCGUGGGGAGCGAACAGG
rnacentral:rRNA from 1 species